rnacentral:rRNA from 1 species
UACGUAGGGGGCAAGCGUUGUCCGGAUUUAUUGGGCGUAAAGAGCGUGUAGGCGGCCAAGCAGGUCAGCUGUGAAAACUCGAGGCUCAACCUCGAGACGUCGGUUGAAACCGCUUGGCUAGAGUCCGGAAGAGGAGAGUGGAAUUCCCGGUGUAGCGGUGAAAUGCGCAGAUAUCGGGAAGAACACCCGUGGCGAAGGCGGCUCUCUGGGACGGUACUGGACGGCUGAGACGCGAAAGCGUGGGGAGCGAACGAGG